rnacentral:lncRNA from 1 species
AUUUAACCCUCUCCGCCGGCGUCGGCCUCCGAAAGAAAGCAGCCGGGGUGCGCCCAUGGCUCCUUCUCGACUCAACCGGCCAGGCCCAGGUGGUGGAGGCCGGCAAGCACGCCAUCAUGCGGCGAACGGGUCUCCCGGCCCGAGACCUUCGGAUCCUGGAUCCGCUUCUCUCGUACCCGUCAACCGUACUGGGUCGAGAACGGGCCAUAGUCAUCAACUUGGAGCACAUCAAAGCCAUUAUCACCGCCCAGGAAGUGUUGUUGAUGAAUUCAAGAGACCCUUCUGUUGUUCCCUUUGUUGAGGAAUUGCAAAUUAGGAUUUUGUGUCACUAUCAAGCCACUAAAGCUCAGGUUUUUUUUUUUCCUUUUUUUUUUCAAGUACCCAGUUCAUUUUUGUACUGAGGAUAAAUGGUCGUGUUGGAUUAUUUGUGAUCAUAAUAAUUAGUAAUUGAGGUCGUAAAUUUGGAAUUUAUUAUAUGAGGAGGCAUCAGAAUUGUUUGUUGGAGGUGAUGUUAAUUUCUUAUAUAGAAGUUUAAUUAGAGUUAAGUAUUCUAUAGCCAAUUUUGGAUUCUAUAUUGUGAUGUGGUUUGAUUAUUUUAAUAAGGAAGUUGAUUAGAAAAGAAAUUGUUAGACUUUUAGUUGGACUUCAUAAUGGGGAAAUUAACAAAAUGGGCAUGGUAGUUGACAUUCUGUAGUGGGAAUAAACGUAAUUCUAUUGAGCCAAAUGAUGAUGCUCGUUGAUGUCUACUCCGUUUAAUGGGAAUACAGUAGUGUGAGGUCAGCCUUUUUGAUCUUUAACCUUUUUGGUCUUUUCAUGAGCAGUUGGCCAUUCUUUAAUCAUGCAGAUAAUCAAAGUUGGUAGUUCUAAUGCAGGCCUCCAACUUAAACUGUCUCUCAAAUCAAUUUAUGUAUAAUAUUUUCUUUUUUAACUUUUAUUCGUCUGCUUCCUCUUCUUAUCUGUGUUUUUUGUGUAGGAGAUCAAUGGUGAGGAUUCAAAUUGGACAAAUUUGUACGAUUUGGAAGCACCACAGUCAAGGACUUCCAGUCCCCGAAAUUUUUCUGGUGGCUUUCCACAGUUUGAAGAUGAAAACGAGGAAAGAAAGGAAGAUGGGAAACAAAGUCUUGAGAAUCGAGAUGGAUCAAAGGUUCUUCCAUUUGAGUUUGUUGCUCUGGAAGCAUGUCUUGAAGCUGCUUGCAGUUGCUUGGAAAAUGAAGUAUUUACUCUUACUUUCUACUUUGAAUCUUUGUCUUUCCCUUUCUUUCAUCAUGUUGCUUUCUUUUCUCGUCUUCUAUCACGGUUUUCACGUGUUUUCUGCUUCUAAAUCAGGCCAAAACAUUAGAGCAAGAAGCUCAUCCAGCCUUAGAUAAGCUGACUUCAAAAGAUUAGUACUCUCAAUUUAGAACGUGUCCGCCAAAUUAAGAGUCGCUUGGUUGCUAUAACUGGACGUGUUCAGAAGGUUGAGUAAUUCAGAUUUUUGAAGUAUAAAUGCUAGUAUUGUUUCCUCGUGGAGAGUUUGAUUAACCAAAGUACUCAUGUUCAUCUGCAGGUGCGGGAUGAAUUAGAACAUUUAUUAGAUGAUGAAGAUAUGGCUGAGAUGUAUCUGACUGAGAAGUUGAUGCAACAACUUGAGAACUCUUCAACUGCCUCUAUAAAUGAGAGAGAUGAUAUGGAUGAUGAAGUUCUUCAAUCAAAUAUGAAUAACGGGCACCUAAAAUUUUGCUUUCUCUUCGUUAACUGUCUUUUCAUUUUUUUUCCCUUCCAUGCAUCUAAAUUUAUUGUCCUGUUUCAGGACUACUGCUGAAAUCUCAUUAGAAGCAACUGGGGGAUCAACUAGCUAUAAAGCAGAUUUUCAGAACACAGAUAACAUCCACGACAAUCUGUUUACUCAAAAUUUACAUAGCCGGGCCAGCCAUGGGACACGCACUUGUACCACUCACAGUGCUAUAAGCAAGCACCUCGAUGUUGAAGAGCUAGAAAUGCUCCUGGAGGCGUACUUUGUGCAAAUUGAUGGUACACUGAACAAGCUAUCUACGGUAAGGAACUCAAUUUUACCACUCAAUUUUGGCCUGCUGCCAUUGCUAGAGCAGUUGAUAUGGUAAUUGAUUAAUUCAACAGUGUAAUAAGGUAAAACAAUGAUUAAUGAUUUUGUCUUCUGACCAAAGCAGUUUCAUGCCAAAGUCAUCGGCUACUGCAGUUUCAUCUGAUAUUGUUAUUAUAUGAGGCUUCAUGGUGACAAAAUGCCGCAUCUUUUUCUAUGCUAUAUUCCAACCAAGGUCUAAAUUUCCCAAACCAAUUACUACCAAACCACCUUUUUUGUUUAUAAAAUCUGAAAGUUUGAAGUUGUGAUUUUUAGGUUGAACAGGACCUCUCUGUAAGUAUGCCCUUCGGACUUGAUCUUGAAUAUUACAACUAUAACAAGAGAUUGGAAUUCGUAAACCAAUAGGAAGAUCUUAUAAAUUGAAUUCUACAUCUUGAUUUGAGUUGUAUUUUGCUUUCUUUGGAGAAAGUUGUGACAAUGGCUUUCUUGAGUAAUAUUUCUCCAUAACUGUGACAAUUAAACACAAUUAAUUGUGAGAAUUUAAAGAGAAACCAAAGACAAUUUCCAUGUCAAAAUCUAAAAAAAAAAUAGAAAAAAUUACAAAAUAUUAACUUAACAAACCAACUAUCCGACUAAAUCCUCAACCACUAAGUUACUAACCCAGCACAACGUGCAUCACUAAUGGCAUUGUUAUUCUAUUAUUUAUAAUCAAUAAAGUUAAAAGCAUUGCCACUUUAUCAACCCACAAAGCAUCGCCACAAUAAUUGAAAGCUAAUAAUACUAUUCUAUUCAAAAAAAAUAUAAACUAAUUCAAUUCAAAAAGGCAUAAACAAUUCAAGAAUUAGAAUAUUAAAUCAUAAAGCGGCAUAUGUGUUCAAUUAUCAAAAUAAUGUAAUCAAUUCUUAAUAAUUAAUAUAAAAAGCUGCAAAGGUGCGACAAUAGUACAAAAAAAUUGCAAAGAUGCGGACCAUGCGGUGGUGCAAGGCUCCGAGUGCCAGCAGCAAGCUAUAGCGUCUAUGGCAUAAAAAUAAAGAGGUGUGAUGACAUGGGAGUUGGACAGAGAUAGACGACAUGCUGAUCAUUGAUGGUAGCCGAUUGAGGUUUUCUUUGGCGAUGGUGGUGGUUACAUAUUUGAUUUUGAGUUUUUUUUUUUUUUGAUUUUUAAUCGUUGUUUUAAGUAUUGGUCUUUUAGUUAUUUUAAAAACUUACCAAGUGUUGUAUUGUAAAUCCACUAAAAAAUAAGAUGAAUUUUUUUUUUUUAAAUCUAGCAGGGCUGAAGCCCCUGUUAGCUCUCAAGUGGCGCCGCCACUGUUUAUGGGUACAGUAAUUAAUGUCAAGAAAAUUGUUGGAAGAGUAUUAUUAUAAAAGUAAGGGUAGGAAUGUACCAUAUAUUACUACAAGGGUGUUUACAAGUAUUUUUUAAAAUGUAAAGAUUAAAUGAGUAUUUACUUUGUUUUGCAACUGUUAUUGGUAAUUAAUUUGAGUUUAGAAUUUUGUUUUAAAAAAGAUUUUGGGUAAAAGUUUUAAGCAAAUGGUUAACGAGACGACACAUAUGCAUUGUAAUUAAAUUGUAUUUUGACGCAUUAAAGUAAUUGUAAUGAAUGAACUCUUCAAAAGAUGACAACAAUACUGCACAAACAAAUUGUUUUUUAAGGACAUCAACAUAAUUGGAACGUGUGUGAUCUGGAUUUUUUUUUUUAAAUUUAACUAAUUCAAAUUCAAAUAAUGAGCAAAUUGGUCAAUUCAUCAAAUAUUAGACGGAGCCAUUAGAUUUAACUGGCAAAUCGGCGGCAAUGGGGGCCUUAGUGCACAUGGUCGAAAGAUGUGGGUGUUCGGUGCGCAUUGUCGAAACAACAAGGGGCUGACGCUAAAUUACCCUCGAUUGUUAUCUCAUUGAUAAUGCUAUUUUUGUUAUCUCUUGCACCUAAUUCAUGGCUUUCUGUCGUCCACUUCUUUUACUUAAAAUUCCUAUAGCCGCAUGACGUGGUACAUAUGUUGUUGGUUUUGUUUGUCUUUUUUGGGCUAGAUAUUUUUUGUUCGGAAUAUCGUAGGAGAAGCUCAUUAAAAUUUUCUAAAAUAGUGAGCAGCGCCGGUGAUCAAACGUGGCAUAGACGGUGGCGGCUUCAGUUUUAUUAUUUGCUUAAUUUGUGUAUUUGACAAAUCAAAGCACAAAUGGCAGCACCCUAUUUGCUGUUAUCGUCUGCAUUUCUUCUUUUGCUUCUCUCUAGUAACUUCUCUGCACUCCGUUCUCACCAAACCGUCGCAACCCUGCCUGGCUUUGAUGGUCAUCUCCCGUUCAAACUCGAAACUGGGUCGGUUUGUUUUUUUUUUCUUUUCUUUUCUUAUUUUAAUUUAAUUUUUAUUAUGUAUACAUAAUUAAGCAGAUUUCAAUUUAAAGCUAGCCAGCUAGAGCUUGCUAUUAAUUUAGCUUGAACUAAUAAUUAAUUUAACGCUGUGUAAAAUUACUUUUAGGUAUAUUGGGGUAGGAGAUGAUGAUGAUGUGCAGCUGUUUUACUACUUUAUUGAAUCCGAGCGGAGUCCUGAAGAUGACCCACUUGUGCUCUGGCUCACCGGAGGCCCUGGCUGUUCUGGAUUUUCUGGCCUUGUCUAUGAAAUUGGUAAAUUCAUUUUCUUUAUGCUUCAUUGAUCACUACUGUUUCCCUUCUGUAUACACACACACAUACACACACACACACAUAUGCAAUUAGACUUUCGUUAUUUAUCUUGAAUUUCCUGAAAUCUUUCUGCUGCUAUUGAUGUUUAGUUAAAGACCAAAAAAAAAAAAAAAAAUCAAAACCCAGUUUAAUUUCAAUUAAUAGUUUGAGAUUUGAAAAUAAAUAAUUGAGUUUUUCUUUCAAAAUGUUAAAAAAAAAAAUCAUUCAAUUUGACUAAGAGUCCAUUGGUAUAAUUUUUUAAAUAGAAUUUGUUUAAUUAGAGAUUUUACUAGCAAAGUUUUUAUAAGUAGAGUUUUUAUAAAAAAAAUUAGGUGUUUGGUUGUCAAUAAAAUUUUUUUAUUAAAAAUUAUAAAAUUACUUCAAUAGUUUAAGUUUUUGUUAUGAAAAGUAUGAAACAAUGUGGUAAAAUAAUAUUUUAUAUAUUUUUUAAUUUUUACGUUAAAAAGCGUAAAAUUUAAUUUUUUUUUAAUAGAGACAAGAUAUUUUAUUUAAAUUUCCAAAAAUCUGCUAAAAAAAUAAUUAAACAACAAGGGAAAAAAAAUUAAAAAGAUCGUAUAGAAUAAAAUAAGUACUUAUAGUCAUUUGAUUUAAGAUAUCUAUCUAGUUUGUCUUCUAGUAAAUGCCAAGAGCUGAGUGGUGGUGGGCUGUUGUAGUCCCCUACUGGAGACUCCAUACUUCCUUACUCAUUACACAUUGGGUGGAGAGGGAGACAUGUCACCCCGCCAAUAUGGUUAAAGUGAAUAUUAAUAUUAAUGAGAGUAUUAGGAUAGUUCGAGCGAAUAUUUAAUUGUGAAUAUCAGUAUUUUUAUGAUGGUAAUAUUACAUAUUUAUGUUUAAAAAAAGAAAAAAACAAUUCUUAUAUAACCUAAGAGUCAAUAAUGGAACUUAAACCCAUUUUGAUUAGAUAUUUAAUAUAAAUUAUCAACAGACACGGACAGAUUAACAAAUUAGGAUUUUGGUAUUAUAAAAUUGACGGGGCCAAAAAAUAAAUUUAACAUAAAACGAAGGCUAAAUUUCAUUGAGACUUUUUACAUUUUUGAAAUUUUUAUGGAAUUGGAGGCUUUAGUUCUACUCUUAUACAAUUUGUAUACUAAUUAGUGGUGGAACCAAGAACUUGAUUCAACAAGGUCUAUGAUAGAGAAAACGUAAAAACUAAAGUAGGCUAUAGCAUUAUAUCACUAACCUUGAAGAUUCUAACAGCAGAUGCUAUAUUGGAAAAAAAAAUCACAGAAUGUAGUAGUUUGCAACUCUGUCAAGCUGAGGUGUCGUGUAAAAUUUACAUAGACAUGGUGGAAUUUUAAUUUAGACUUCUAUUUUUUCCUGUGAUUUAAGGCCCUUUUUAGUAGGCCCAGGUCCUUGAGAGUCCAGGUGCCGCUAUCCGAGGGCCGGUUUAGGCCGACCCACCAUGGACUCGGUCCGGGCUGUGCUUGAACUUGAGCCCAAAUUAAUUAGAAGGGCCAUGUGCCAGGCCUGUGCUUUUUAUAAGGCUAGGCCUAACCGCGUACAUGAACGGGCCUUAUUUCUAGGUCCUAACCACAGAGGAUGAGCUGAAGUCCUCCAAGCCUGGAUUGAGUUGGGCUAGGCCGCUCUCAGUCUUUUUGCCAUCUCUGCAAAAAAAAGCCCUAAACUUGCACAUAAUGGUGUGUCAUUAAUUAGAACUUACAUAUUACAUUACUCAUUAAUUAAGAGGGCAUAGAUCAUGGCCACAUAUUCGCAUGUUUAGGUGGGAAAUCAAAGUUUGUAAUAAAAUUAAUAAUAGCUCCAAAUUGUUCGGUUCACCUAACAAUCAAACAGUCUUUUCAAAAUUAUUAUCUUCAUUUGUUUUACACGGAUUAAUAAAAUACAAUACCAUAUUAUUUGUAUUAUUUGGUUUAAUUCCUGAAAUGAUCACUUUGAAAAGUUCGGUUCCCUGAAAUUUUACUAGUGAGACUAAGAUUGUGUUUCUUUUUAAUGCUGUAGUUUCCUUACAAUUGGAUUUAUAUUUAAGUGAUCAAAAUCUCAUUAUUAUUUAUUAUUAUAUAUGACUUUAUACCAAAUAUUCUUCAUGGUCCUUAGGUCCAUUGGUGUUUGACUACGAGAAUUCCAAGGCAAGUUUACCAAGGUUUUCCUUGAACCAGUACUCGUGGACAAAGGUGCCUUGCAUAUCCAUUCUCCCACUGCUCUGGUUUUAUGUAUAAAUUUGUGUGUUUGAGUAAUGAAUUAAUUUAUAAUUAGAAUUCAUUCUAUCGAUUAUCUUACUAAGAAGUUGUGAACAUUUUUCCAGGUUGCCAACAUUAUUUUUUUAGAUGCUCCUGUAGGUACCGGAUUCUCAUACGCCAAUAGUUGGGAAGGAUACAUCAUGAAUGAUACUCUUUCAGCAACACAAAUUUAUCACUUUUUAAGAAAGGUGAAGAUAAGAGACGAAAAAAAAAUUACACUCCAAAUUUCAUUAUUAGAGUAAAUUUUCGUUGGCCUUGCAUAUAGGUUUUUGCUGAAUUUCCAUAUCAGCGGCCUUGUAUUUGCUCAGAAUUAUAGAUCAUUAAUUUAACAUACUGAUUGUUACUAUUUUUAUUAUUUGUUCUAAUCAGUGGCUUAUAGUUCAUUCUGACUUCCUCGCAAAUCCUCUCUAUAUUGCUGGUGAUUCUUAUUCAGGCAAAAUUGUUCCAAUUGUUGUUCAGGAAAUAUCUGACGGUAACUUGUAUAUGUGAAUACUUGUUUAUGCAUUGAUUUUGGUUCAUUUUAUGUUUAUCAGAUCUUAAUUUCUCAAGUAGUCUAGUUGUUGUUGCAGGUAUUGAUGCUGGACACAAGCCAAGAAUGAAUCUGAAAGUAGGUGACUUAUCAUCAGAAAUGAAGUAUACUUGAUUUCAUUUGUUUGAUUUACAUUUAGUUAGUAACUGUUCUUAGAUGCAUUAUCAAUUGAAGUAUUUAACAGGUUAACUAUUUUGAUAAUGGACUCAGGGAUAUCUGCUUGGCAACCCAGUUACAGAUUACAAAAUAGACCAAAAUUCAAAAAUACAGUUUGCUUACCUGAAGGCACUUAUCACCUAUGAAAUCUAUGAGGUGAAUUUUCCACCUAUGCGUUGAUUCUAAAUAGGACUAGGAUCUAUUUCUCAUGAGCGGAGCUAUCACAAACAAAAUACAAGUCGGUAUGAUGGGUGCUUAUUAUAUAUGAAUAAUGUGGAUUUAUAACUCUAUUAUUAGAUAGAUAGCAAUAGUGUAAUUAUCAUGUUAAAUUGUUAAUGGUAAAAUAAUAAAGCUAAUUUGUAUUUGACAUACAAAGCAUUAAUUGAUAAAUGGCUGCACGGUGGUUGGAAUACAAAUUUUAUAUCCUCACCUUGUAACCAUAUAACAUUUUUAAUUAAAAUAUAUGGACAUGAAUGAAUGUUCCAUUUUAUAAUUUUAUUUGCAUAAUUGCAAGUUUUUUUUUUUUAGCAUGUUUUCUGAAGACAAGUGUUAAGAAUAUCCACUUAAUAACUUCUGAUUAUGUAACAAUUUAUCAUACUAGCUACUUUCAUAAGUUAAUCUAGUAUAAAUGGCAAAUCGUUCUAUACUUUUAUUUGAUUUUUUUCUUUUUUCUGGCUAGUUGUACUUGCUUUACUAAAAUAUUAUUCUAAAUUGUGCGCUGCCUUUUUUUUCUAUAUUACUUUUUACCCAGUCAGCCAAGAAGAAUUGCAAGGGUGAUUACGUAAAUGUAGACCCAGGAAAUUAUUUAUGCAAAGCCGAUCUUCAAAAUAUCUCAGCGGUGCGUAAAGGAGUAACUAUCAUUUUGUUUAUUUGUUUAUUAUUUCUUAAUUCUAUAACUCUAUAAGUAGCACGCCAAAUUAUCUCACUGAUGCUUGAAUUUAUAGUGCACUGGAAAUGUAAAUGGAGGGAACAUAUAUGAACCUAAAUGUAGUUUUGUAUCCUCAAAACCAACACGAUUGAGCCCCCGAGAUGGCAGCGUCGUGGAAGAUGAAGAAGAUUAUUUAGAUUUGCUCUUUUUGCCAGCUCAGCCAGCUCCAAAACUUUGGUGUCGGGUAAAUUUCUGCACAUGCCUACAAUAUAUUUGUUGAUCCAUGUUGUUAAUACUUUCCCCUAAUGCUAACGUGAGGCAGUUACCUACCUUAAGUUUUUUGUUGAACUGUUUAAUUAAUACAAUAUUAGAGCAAAUGUCUCACGAUCAAUUCUUUCAGCCAACAGUUUGGAAGAUAGUUGAAAUUUAUUAGGGAUAAAUAAAAAUUAAUCCUAAAAGGAAUCAAUUAAAUUUAGAAUUCCUCUUUUAUAUAUUAUAUGAGUGUAUUGAAUAUUGGUGCUGUAUUUAAGCUGUCAUGAUACUUUUCAUUUUUGUCAUAUGUAUAUUUUAAUCAUAACAAUCUGGAUCCCAACAAUAUAUGUGUGUCUUAUGAUCUUAAACUCUUAAUUGCUGUGAUACUCGUCAAUUAUAAGCUAAUAUGAUCUUGCUCUUUUAAAGAAUCAAAACAAUUUCUACGCUCCAACAUGGGCAAAUGACAAAACUGUUCAAAGGGCUCUCGGAAUUCGGGAGGUAUGAUAAAGCUUAACCAUAACAUUAAUAGCAUAAAAAUUUGAAAAUUAAUUUUACCAAAUACCUGUCUUUCCCAACAACAAGCAGGGGAUGGUAAAAGAAUGGAGGAGAUGCAAUGAAAGUUUAUCUUACACACAAAAUGUCCCGAGCAGUGUUGAUUAUCAUCGCAACCUCAUCAACAAGGGCUACCAAGUUUUGAUUUACAGGUAAAGGUAAUUAUAUUCUUUAUUUAUAUAUAAUGUUUAUCAAAUUUAUCCCUAACUCUUGUAGGAAUGUGUCAAUGACCAGGUUAUAUUGAAUUUUGAGUAUUUGACAGUCCCAAUGCAAGAAUAAGAAACUUAAUAAUGAAGUUGAUUAUGUCAUUUCCAAAUGAAUUAGGGAUGUUAAACUCUAUUUUUUUUAUCUAAUAAUAUUAUAUUUACUCGGUUGAAAUAUUUAAUUUCUAUUUCGAUUGAUAGAUCACCAAUUAUUUACUCGGUUGAAAUAUUUAAUUUCUAUUUCGAUUGAUAGAUCACCAAUUAUUUACUGUCAUGUAUUACCAAUCAUCGAUUUUAGUACUAACUAUGUUUACGUAUAUAUGUUUGCUUGAGUAUGGUUUUUAAAUCUUUGCAGCUUUCUUGAUGCAACUAAUAUUUUCUUCUCUUACCACAGUGGCGAUGUGGACAUGGGAACUUCAUAUGUAGGCACAGAAACAUGGAUUAAGUCAUUAAAUUUGACGAUUGAUAGUGGCUGGCAGCCAUGGCUUGUGGACGGCCAAGUUGCAGGGUUGGUUUUAUUUUUUUUGUUUGAUCGAGUUAAUUUCUCUUUAUUCCUUAAUUAGGGUUAGACAUUAUUUUCCAAUUGGCCCUUAAUUUUUAUUAAAUGAUACGAAACAUUUUUUUAUUAAUAAAAAAAAAAACGCUGCAAAGGAACAUUUGACAUUAACAAAAGUAACAACUUAGAUGUUUUGCAGAUUUUGGAUGCGGUAUGCUGAAAAGAACCUUUACCGUUUGACAUUUGCCACAGUAAAGGCAAGACUAAUUUUCUGGCAAAUUAUGUUUAGACUGACAUUAACUAAUUAAAUACUGUGAUUUAAUUAGCAAAGCUGCUACAUGAUUAAAUUAUUUUGUAAUUGCGGGUUGCGUAGGGAGCAGGUCAUACGGCUCCAGAGUACAAGCCUAAGGAAUGCCUCGAAAUGAUUAACAGGUGGUUUGCCAUGUAUCCUCUCUGAAGCCAUGUUCGGUGCUUUGAGAAUGCAAAUGUAUUGGAUUAUUUUGUAUUGUAUUAACAUUACAUUACAAUAAUAUUGUACAGUAUUUAGCGCUACACUGUAUUGUAUUAAUAUCAUAUAAUAUUAAAUUAAUGUUAUUUCAAUGUAUUAUUAGAUAAUUAAUUUUAUAUUAAUUAUUUAUAUAAAUAUAAUAUUAUUAAAUAAAUUAAUGAACUGGGAUUAACUAUAAUGUAAUUAAUUUUUUAUUAAUUUCAUGAUUAAUGUAUUAUUUUGUAAGUUUAGCUUAAUUAUACAGAUUGCUGAUUUCAGCAAUUUAAAAAUUUCAACAAUCAAAACCUGACACCAUAAAAUUAAUGAACUGGGAUUAACAACAAAAGAAAUCUUAUGUUUUGACAAAAUCACAAGUAAAGACGGUUGGCCGUUGUCGUGCAUGCGUUUAUAAACUAUGAUUUCUGAAAUAAAUAAGUACUAGAAUAAGCGAUUGAUUUAUUGAAAUGUAUUUAGCAAAAUUAGAUGGUCACAAUAGGAGGUAAUUAACUGGGUACCACUGUUGGGUAGUGGCAAUUUUUGACAUGAUUUAUCAAUGCAAGGAACAUAAAAAAAGUUUACCAAAAUUUGGGUCCUAAAUGUUACGUUUCAUAUUUAUAACCAUAUUAUAUUUUACAGUGCUUUUAAAAUUGUUUGAUUAUAUUUACAGAGAACCUAUUAGUGUAAGGAGAACAAAUUUAUGAAUGAUAUCCUUUAUUGCAGUUUUAAUAAAGGGAAAAGGACACAGAGACCCUCAAUGUGUGAAUAAGGGACACAGAGACCCCCAACGUUUGAAAAAGGGACACAAAACCCCCUAAUGUUUAAAAAAAGACACUCAGACCCUCAUUUGUUAACAGAAAUUAUAAUUUUAAAGUGCAAUUACCAUUAUACCCUUAUAGCAUAUUAAAAAAUAAUUGUUCAUUGUCCAAUUUAUUCCUAUAUUAUUAAUAAAAUUACGAAUAUAACUUAAUUACCCAAUUUUUCCAUUUAAUUUUUGUCAAAUUUUUUCUUCAAACUAAAUAAAUUUAAUCCAUUGCUCAAGAAUAAAAAUAAAUUAAAUUGAUUAUUAAUAUAAUAAAAAUAAAAAUUCUCCAUAUGUCAAUUUAUUGAAUAUGUUAUUUAGUACAAUUACGAUUUUGUAAUUAUUGUUGUAACCAAUUUUUUUAUUUUGUUGAUUAUAUAAGUUUAAAUGGAGAAUUGUUAUUGAGAAUUGUUAUUUUUAUUAUAUUAGUAAUCAAUUUAAUUUAUUUUUAUUCUUGAGCGAUGGAUUAAAUUUAUUUAGUUGAAGAGAAAAUUUGACAAAAAUUAAAUGGAAAAUUUGGAUAAUGAAGUUAUAUUCGUAAUUUUAUUAAUAAUAUAGGAAUAAAUUGGACAAUGAACAAUUAUUUUUUAAUAUGCUAUAAGGGUAUAAUGGUAAUUGCGCUUUAAAAUUAUAAUUUCUGUUAACAAAUGAGGGUCUGAGUGUUUUUUUUUUAAAUAUUAGGAGGUUUUGUGUCAAUUUUCAAACGUUGAGGGUCUCUGUGUCCCUUAUUCAAAUAUUGGGGGUCUAUGUGUCAUUUUCCCUUUAUUAAACUUUAGGAAUUCUAAUGGUAUUGCCACUUCCAUAGAUUAACAUGACUUUACUACAAUCAUUAGAGAGGCGUAUACGAUGAGAAACUACCGGGCGGCCUUCUCAUGCGUACGUGUGACAUACAACUGCUGUAAAUCGAACUGUUUUCAGACGUAGCAAGAGAAACAUCCAAACAAAAUUUCUGUGGCCUAAUAUUAUCUCAGUUGAGGCGAUUUUAAGUCUCAUCAAACAAUUAUGUCAUAUGUGUAUGUGUAAUUAUUUCAUAAAUGUAAUAAUGAUUUUCCCAUUUAAACAUCACCACAUCACAAGCUGCUUUUACUGAUAAGAGUUUUAGAUUUUCAACCGAUCGAUAUUGCUUCAUAUAUAUUUAGAACCAGUAAUGUUGAAUGAGGAGGGAAUAUCAAUCUUCCUUAUAAUUUCACUAAUUUUGUGCUUCUCAAAAUCUUCCAAGACCAUGAUGAUGAGUUUGUUAUUCACGAUAUCAAUUUCACCAAAACCCUGAUUUAGGGUCCCAAGAAAUAGCUCUUACCUUGUUCAAAUCUGAGAAACAAACUUGAGGCAAAGUGUAAAUUGCAGCACACUCCAUUCUUUAAGUUAAUAGAAACCUCUUCAACAACAUCUGAUCUGUUUCUGUGAAGCCACACGCCAUGCAAAUUGCAAAGUAUAUAUAUGUUGAAUCAUACUUCACAGUAAAAUUUGCUUCAAGAUUAUUUUUAAGGGAUAUCGACAUGUCCCCAGUGAUCAGCUCACAACCUCCUGCAUGUGAGGAUUAUAUACAUCGUUAGUGUAGCAAACGAACAUAAUUAUAGAUUUGCUACUAAAAUAUGGCAUCUGGCGGGUCGCUUGAGCCGGUAUUUCUUUUAGUGACUUGUUCUUCAAUGUUAUAUUGCAGCCAAUUGGUUGACACAGAUGCAUGUUAAUGCAGUGGGGAUGUUGAAUUAAUGCAGACCACUGCUUGCAAACACACUUGAACCUUAUAACCGACUGAGGAUCCCAGUAACGUUCUCGAUCGAUACGGGGGGUUUUUGAUUUGGAAUCGAAGUCGAAUAAUUAUUUGUUUUCUUCCUUUGUGGCUCAUGACGCCGAAAUCUGCAAAUGAUUCCCAUGGUUGGCACCACCUGAUUAUGACGAUAGUAUCAAAAACAAGUAUUUAAAUUUAUUAGUGUGCGGACUUCAUAAUGUCAACAUACAAACAUUUCUCUAAUAAACGUUAACUAGUUAUUAAAUGUAGAAGGAUGCUAAACGACAUACUUUAAGACUUAGAAAAGUAAUCAAUUAUUAAGGUCCGGUUUGACAUUGAGGUAUUAUAACUUUUAAGUUGUAAUUAUUGUGGAAAAAAAUUGUAAUUAUAAAAUAAAAAUUAAUAAUAUGUAAUAAAUAUAAAUUUUAUUAAAAAUAUAAUAAAGUUUUUAUUAUAUAAGUGAAAAAGUAUACCAACAUAACUUCUAAAUUAAAGCAACUAGUAUUUAUCAAACACUUUAAUAUUAUAACUUUUAAGUUACAAUUGUCCAAUCUCAAUCUCAAACGCACCCUAAGUUGGAGGGAACAAUGUCUGAAUUUAAAACUCGAAUAUCUGCCGCCCACCAACCUAUUUCAUUCAAGUAGAACCUAACUUAAUUUUUCUUACGCAUUAUUACUUAUGCAUGCUCCAAUUCAUGUUGGGAGUAGGAAAGUAGCCACGGUAAUAAAAACAUUUGAGGAAUUUGUAAUUUUAGUUAUUUAUUUAUUUAUUAUAUGUACAUAGUGAUGGUCGCACUAAUUAGUGGAUAUUGGCAAUUUGUCACAUGAUCUAACAAUGCAACAAACAUUACAUGGGUUAGCAAGUUUGGAUCCUAAAAUAUUACCUCUUGUGUCCGGUUUCAAUUUUUAUUUUUUAUUUUUCUAGAUGAAGUCCGAUUUCACUUAAAACUUAUGACAAAUGAAUUUAUUUAUAGUACGAUUAACUUAUUAAUUAAAUUAUACCCGUAGACUUUAUUAUUUAAUUUGAUAUAACUAUAUUAUAUCUAUCGUAUUUUUAAAAUUGUUUAGUUAAAUUUAAUUCAAACUUAUUUGUGUGAGGAGAACAAAUUUAUAAAUGAUAUCUUUACUGUAGUUUCAUUAAACUUUAGGGGCUCUAAUGUUAUUACCACAUCCAUAAAUUAACAUGACUUCUCUACGGCCAUUAGAGAGGCAGCGCGAUGAGGAAUCAGCACCCUUCUCUAUCCAAACCCGAUGACGACCCGGACCCGAUUCGGCCACCCACGGCCAAUUUAACCCUCUCCGCCGGCGUCGGCCUCCGAAAGAAAGCAGCCGGGGUGCGCCCGUGGCUCCUUCUCGACUCAACCGGCCAGGCCCAGGUGGUGGAGGCCGGCAAGCACGCCAUCAUGCGGCGAACGGGUCUCCCGGCCCGAGACCUUCGGAUCCUGGAUCCGCUUCUCUCGUACCCGUCAACCGUAUUGGGUCGAGAACGGGCCAUAGUCAUCAACUUGGAGCACAUCAAAGCCAUUAUCACCGCCCAGGAAGUGUUGUUGAUGAAUUCAAGAGACCCUUCUGUUGUUCCCUUUGUUGAGGAAUUGCAAAGUAGGAUUUUGUGUCACUAUCAAGCCACUAAAGCUCAGGUUUUUUUUUUUCCUUUUUUUUUUUCAAGUACCCAGUUCAUUUUUGUUACUGAGGAUAAAUGGUCGUGUUGGAUUAUUUGUGAUGAUAAUAAUUAGUAAUUGAGGUCGUAAAUUUGGAAUUUAUUAUAUGAGGAGGCAUUAGAAUUGUUUGUUGGAGGUGAUAUUAAUUUCUUAUAUAGAAGUUGAUACAGCUUUGCCCGAGAUUAAUGACAAAUCAGCACUUGAAACAGGUUAAGAAACCCAACUGGUCGAGGAGCCUAUAAAAGGUUCAGCUCGUAUGCGCAGGGCACCAACAUACCUCAAGGAUUACAUUACCUAAGGAAUAUUCAAGAAGGAACAAAAAAAGUGAGAAAGAUGACAGUUGUGAUUUUAGUUAUUUUGUUGUGACUAUUUAUUUUGCCUAUCAUUACAUAGUUGUUUAGUUACGCUUGUAUUGUUGUGGGGUAAAAGAUAUUUAUAGAGGGCAACACGUCAAAGGUGGAUAUAAGAAAAUGGCAAAUAUUUCUUCUUCUCUCUCUCCGUCUCUCCUGCUAUCUCUGUUUCUCCAUUAAUUUCAAUUCUUUUUGCUGGAGUCAACACUUACUCUAAAAGUGUAAAUCUAUGAUAUAAACUCUGAGUUGCAGAGUUGUAUCAAUUGGUGCUUUCAUUGCCUUCUUCUUCUCACAGAAAAAAAAAAGAACAAAAGCCACCAUAACUGAGCAAACAAAGAGGAUUAAUUCUGAGGUUCUUUCCGCCAUAAAGGAGCUCUUUGAGAAGCAAACGCUAUCUGUUCAUCAGACCUUACAACAGUACAUGUCCACUGUAGAUUCUCGUUUUGAGGAAUUCCAAGCUCAAAUUCGUGGUUCUGUUGGCGUUUUGAGUGGCCAUUCACAACUAUCAGAGCCUAUGUCAGCGUUUACAGAGGGUUCUGCUGGGGGCACAGACUUUUCACCGCUUUUACGUUCCAUGAAAAUGGACAUUCCUAAGUUUGACGGCUCUGAUCCGACCGGGUGGGAAUUUCGCAUCAACGAGUUUUUUUACCUCCAUGGGACCCCAGAUAAUUUGCGUCUUCGCAUUACAUCGUUUCACAUGGAGCCGCGGCUUGGUAUCAAUGGAUGAAAGCUAACAAUCUAUUAACCACAUGGUGAAGUUUUUUGGUCAGUCUUAAGAGUCGCUUUAGAGCUUCCAUGUAUGAAGACCAUCAAGGGAACCUUUCAAAAUUAACGCAGACCUCCACAGUUGUUGAUUUUCAGUCGGCUUUUGAAGACCUAAUGAACAAAGUUACUGGUAUAUCUGAGCCUUUGUUAAUUAGUUUCUUUAUCACGAGUUUAAAGUCCGAUAUCCGUUGUGAGUUGUUGUUUACUCGACCGACUUCUCUCAUGGAAGCCUUUGCUCUUGCUAGAGCUUGUGAGGCUAGAUCUGAUGAAGUUAAAACAACCAGUCGUUCUUGGUCAAAAUGGCCUCUUACUACACCUCCAGCUUCACCAAAUGUCCCCCAUGUUUUGCCAAACACUUCCACUUUUAAAAAUACCAAUAUUGUAGCUGCCCAUGUUAUUACUAUAACAAAACCACCAUCUCAACCUCCAUUAUUACCAACCCCCAAUUUACCAAUCCAUCGCUUUACUCCAGCUGAGUUACGGGAUAAAAGAGAAAAAGGGUUAUGUUAUAAUUGUGAUAAAAAAAAUAUACUGCAAACCAUCGCUGCCGCAAUAAAUUCUUGUUGUUGAUGGGUACUGAUGAUGAAGAGUGUGACCCGGGGGAGGAGGGGAAUGUCAUUGAGCAAACUGAGGAAGUGGUUACCGCAGGCAUUUCAAGUUUGAAUGCCUUGGCUGGUCAGUCCAAUCCGCGGUCUUUGUGUGUCUUGGGUGAAAUUAAAGGACAUCAAUUCCAUGUUCUUAUAGACAGCGGCAAUACUCACAACUUCAUCAAACUGCAGCUAGCUGAACGGCUUGGUCUGUCGAUUCAAUCCACCUCAACUUUUCGAGUUUAUAUCGGCAACGGGGAUUUUCUAGUUUGUCAUUUUCACUGCCCGAAAGUGUCAAUUGUUAUUUAAGGCCAUGAGUUUCGCUUGGAUUUCUUUGUUUUACCAAUUGAAGGACCGGAGGUAGUUUUAGGCAUCCAGUGGCUUCAACGCCUUGGGCGUGUCUCCACAGAUUAUUCAGAGAUGACUAUGGAAUUUUUUUGGGAGGGUAAGCAAGUCCUUUUACGAGGUGACCCUAUUCAACUCCCUAAUUUGAUCUCUUUUAAUCAAUUUCAAGCAUUGUUACACAGCGAAGAAGUUGACACUUUAUUCGAGCUUCAUUCCCUCUCCAGUAACACAUCUGAGUUCCAUAUUCCCAACUCCACAUCCUCAACCUUUGAAACCGAAUUACCCACUUCCUUGCCAGAAUCUAUUUAUCUUCUCCUCCAUAAAUAUAAGGCAGUCUUUGCUCCGCCAACUGGCCUCCCUCCCCAGCGAAAUAUAGACCACAAAAUUUACCUCACUCCCAAUUGCAAACCUGUCAAUGUCAGGCCCUACCGUUAUCCUCAAUUUCAAAAAAAUGAGAUGGAGAAAUUAGUUCAUGAAAUGCUUGAGCAAGGAAUUAUCAAACCAAGUCAUAGCCCUUUCUCCUCACCAGUGUUGUUAGUAAGGAAGAAAGACGACACAUAUCGCUUCUGUGUUGACUACCGUGCUUUGAAUACCGUAACAGUGAAUGACAAAUUCUCAAUCCCUACCAUCGAUGAAUUAUUUGAUGAACUUGAUAGUGCAAGGGUAUUUAGCAAACUGGAUUUGAGAGCAGGAUAUCAUCAGAUCAGAGUCCAUAAACGUGACACUUACAAGACAGCGUUUCGCACGCACGAAGGGCACUAUGAAUUUCUUGUCAUGCCUUUCGGAUUGACCAACGCUCCAUCCACCUUCCAAACGACAAUGAACAAAUUAUUUGUUUUUUUUUUGCGCAAAUUUGUUAUAGUCUUUUUUUAUGAUAUUUUGGUAUAUAGUUCUUCUUUGGCUGAUCAUGUGUGUCACUUGGAGCAGGUUUUGCUGCGUUUACAAUUACAUCAAUUUUCUGUCAAACUCUCUAAAUGUUUGUUUUGUCAAGAGACCAUUGCUUACUUGGGACAUAUAGUCUCUACUCAUGGUGUUCAUGCCGACCCUCAAAAGAUUACCGUUAUGGUAGAUUGGCCCUUGCCCAAAAUAGUGAAGCAACUGAGGGGAUUUUUGGGGCUUACUGGGUAUUAUCGGCAGUUUAUACAAGGUUAUGCAACUAUUACAGCUCCACUUACAUAAUUGUUAUGCAAGGAUGCCUUCCGUUGGAAUACAGCAGCCACUGAAGCCUUUAAUAAAUUGAAAGAUGCCAUGGUAAAAGCUCCUGUAUUGCUUCUACCUAACUUUGAAUUGGAAUUUAUCAUUGAAACGGAUGCAUCAAAUGUGGGAAUUGGGGCCGUGUUAAUGCAAGCGGGUCACCCCAUAGCUUAUUUCAGUAAAAAAUUAGGACCUCGGUUGCGGGCAUCGUCGACAUACAUAAAAAAAACUACAUGCCAUUGUGUCUGCCGUGCUAAAAUGGCGACAGUAUCUCCUCGGCAGAUUUUUCAUCAUUCGUACAGAUCACAAAAACAUUAAAGAAUUAUUUCAACAAGUAAUCCAAACUCCUGAUUAGCAGGCUUACGUCCAAAAGUUAUCAGGAUUCCAUUUCAGAAUUGACUAUAAGGCUGGAAGCUCGAAUCAAGCUGCGGAUGCACUGUCAUGUAUACAUGAAGAUACACCUCCUAAAUCACAAAUGGUUUCAGCACUCUGUUUAACAAUGGUUAGUCAACCUUCUACUGAUUUAUUACAAAUCUUGCUAAAGGAAAAUGCAACAUUAGAUGACAUGUUACUUCUCUACAAGAAGUUGGUGACAGGAACACUUUCCCCUGAUUUUUCUGUUCACAAUGGGUUCUUAUUAUUCCGCCACCGCUACUAUCUCAGUCCACACUCAUCGUUGAAACCAAUAUUGCUCAAAGAAUUCCAUGAUACUCCAAUGGCGGGUCACGCAGGCAUCAAAAGAACUUUGAUUCGACUGUCUUCUAAUUUUGAUUAGCCCAAAAUGCAAGCUGAUGUGGAAAAGUAUAUUGCUGCUUGUCUCACCUGUCAACAAAUCAAAUAUUCCACCCAAGCCCCUACAAGAUUACUUCAGCCUCUUCCCAUCCCUUCACUUGUUUGUGAUGAAUUGACUAUGGAUUUUAUUACGGGGCUACCCAAUUCUAAAGGAUUUGAAGUUAUUUUGGUUGUGGUUGAUCGUUUGACGAAAUCAGCACAUUUCGGAGCAUUGCCAUCGUAGUUCACUGCCCACAAGACAAUCAUGUUAUUCACUGAAUUGGUAGUCAAAUUACAUGAUUUUCCUAGUUCAAUCAUUUCAGACCGAGAUCCAGUAUUCAUGAGCCAUUUUUGGCAAAAAUUAUUUGAAUUGAGUGGCACCACAUUACGCCACAGCACCGCUUAUCAUCCACAGACCGACGGCCAAUCCGAGGUGAUAAACCGUGGCCUAGAGCAAUAUGUCUGAGCCUUCACUUAAGACAAACCUCAUUCUUGGUCAACUAUUUUGUGAUGGGUCGAAUUUUGUUACAACACCAGUUAUCAUAGUAGCUUGCGAAUGACACCUUUCCAAGCUCUUUAUGGACGUUUACCUCCUACAAUUCCUGGCUAUUCCAAGGGCUCUACUUCAAUCCAAGCAUUAGAAGACCUGCUGGUCGAGAGAGAUGAAUUGAUGCGCUGUCUGAAAGCAAACUUAUGUCAAGCUCAGCACUGAAUGGCACAAAAAGCUAACAAGCAUCGCAGGGAAUUGCAACUGCAGGUGGGGGACAAAGUGUUGGUAUGCUUACAACCUUACAUACAAUCAUCUGUUGCCAACCGCGCUUUGCACAAGCUGGCAAAGAGCUACUAUGGGCCAUUUCGGGUAUUGGAGAGAAUUGGUUCUGUUGCUUAUAAAUUAGAAUUGUCCGUUGGCAGCAAAAUUCACCAUGUUUUCCAUAUAUCCUUACUGAAGCCUUAUGUUGGGGAUUCUCAUGUUGACAUUCAUUCCCUGGCCCCUGCAAGUGUGAACAACAAGCCCCUUUUUUCUCCUCUAGCUAUUUGUGCUGAACGCUCGGUGCUUAAACAAGGGCAGGAGCUUCGUUAAGUUUUGGUGCAAUGGUCUGAUUGUGUCCCCUGAAAAUUCUACUUAGGAGGAUUAUGAUGAUUUUGGCAAGACAUAUCCCGAGCUUCACCCCCCUGAGGACAAGGUAAAUUCUCAAGGGAUGAGGAAUGAUACAACUUUGCCCGAGAUUAAUGACAAAUCAGCACUUGAAACAGAUGAAGAAACCCAGUUGGUCGAGGAGCCCAUAAAAGGUCCAGCUCGUAUGCGCAGGGCACCAACAUACCUCAAGGAUUACAUUACCUAAGGAAUAUUCGAGAAGGAACAAAAAGAGUGAGAAAGAUGACAACUGUAAUUUUGGUUAUUUUGUUGUGACUAUUUGUUUUGCCAAUCAUUACAUAGUUGGUUAGUUACGCUUGUAUUGUUAUGGGGUAAAAGAUAUUUGUAGAGGGCAACACGUCAAAGGUGGAUAUAAGAAAAUGGCAAAUAUUUCUUCUUCUCUCUCUCCAUCUCUCUUGCUAUCUCUGUUUCUCCAUUAAUUUCAAUUCUUUUUGCUUCUUUUUGCAGGAGUCAGCACUUACUCGAAAAGUGUAAUCUAUGAUAUAAACUCUGAGUUGCAGAGUUGUGUCAGAAGUUUAAUUAGAGUUAAGUAUUCUAUAGCCAAUUUUGGAUUCUAUAUUGUGACGUGGUUGAUUAUUUUAAUAAGGAAGUUGAUUAGAAAAGAAAUUGUUAGACUUUUAGUUGAACUUCAUAAUGGGGAAAUUAACAAAAUGGGCAUGGUAGUUGACAUUCUGUAAUGGGAAUAAACGUAAUUCUAUUGAGCCAAAUGAUGAUGCUCGUUGAUGUCUACUCUGUUUAAUGGGAAUACAGUAGUGUGAGGUCAGCCUUUUUUAUCUUUAACCUUUUUGGUCUUUUCAUGAGCAGUUGGCCAUUCUUUAAUCAUGCAGAUAAUCAAAGUUGGUAGUUUUAAUGCAGGCCUCCAACUUAAACUUUCUCUCAAAUCAAUUUAUGUAUAAUAUUUUCUUUUUUAACUUUUAUUCGUCUGCUUCCUCUUCUUAUAUGUGUUUUGUGUAGGAGAUCAAUGGUGAGGAUUCAAAUUGGACAAAUUUGUACGAUUUGGAAGCACCACAGUCAAGGACUUCCAGUCCCCGAAAUUUUUCUGGUGGCUUUCCACAGUUUGAAGAUGAAAACGAGGAAAGAAAGGAAGAUGGGAAACAAAGUCUUGAGAAUCGAGAUGGAUCAAAUGUUCUUCCUUUUGAGUUUGUUGCUCUGGAAGCAUGUCUUGAAGCUGCUUGCAGUUGCUUGGAAAAUGAAGUAUUUACUCUUACUUUCUACUUUGAAUCUUUGUCUUUCCCUUUCUUUCCUCAUGUUGCUUUCUUUUCUCGUCUUCUAUCACGGUUUUCACGUGUUUUCUGCUUCUAAAUCAGGCCAAAACAUUAGAGCAAGAAGCUCAUCCAGCCUUAGAUAAGCUUCAAAGAUUAGUACUCUCAAUUUAGAACGUGUCCGCCAAAUUAAGAGUCGCUUGGUUGCUAUAACUGGACGUGUUCAGAAGGUUGAGUAAUUCAGAUUUUUGAAGUAUAAAUGCUAGUAUUGUUUCCUCGUGGAGAGUUUGAUUAACCAAAGUACUCAUGUUCAUCUGCAGGUGCGGGAUGAAUUAGAACACUUAUUAGAUGAUGAUGAAGAUAUGGCUGAGAUGUAUCUGACUGAGAAGUUGAUGCAACAACUUGAGAACUCUUCAACUUCCUCUAUAAAUGAGAGAGAUGAUAUGGAUGAUGAAGUUCUUCAAUCAAAUAUGAAUAACAGGCACCUAAAAUUUUGCUUUCUCUUCGUUAACUGUCUUUUCAUUUUUUUCCCUUCCAUGCAUCUAAAUUUAUUGUCCUGUUUCAGGACUACUGCUGAAAUCUCAUUAGAAGCAACUGGGGGAUCAACUAGCUAUGAAGCAGAUUUUCAUAACACAUAGAACAUCCACGACAAUCUUUUUACUCAAAAUUUACAUAGCCGGGCCAGCCAUGGGACACGCACUAGUACCACUCACAGUGCUAUAAGCAAGCACCUCGAUUUUGAAGAGCUAGAAAUGCUCCUGGAGGCGUACUUUGUGCAAAUUGAUGGUACACUGAACAAGCUAUCUAUGGUAAGGAACUCAAUUUUACCACUCAAUUUCGGCCUGCUCCCAUUGCUAGAGCAGUUAAUAUGGUAAUUGAUUAAUUCAACAGUGUAAUAAGGUAAAACAAUGAUUAAUGAUUUUGUCUUCUGACCAAAGCAGUUUCUUGCCAAAGUCAUCGGCUACCGCAGUUUCAUCUGAUAUUGCUAUUAUAUGAGGCUUCAUGGUGACAAAAUGCCGCAUCUUUUUCGAUGAUAUAUUCUAACCAAGGUCUAAAUUUCCCAAACCAAUUACUACCAAACCACCUUUUUUGGUUUAUAAAAUCUGAAAGUUUGAAGUUGUGAUUUUUAGGUUGAACAGGACCUCUAUGUAAGUAUGCCCUUCAGACUUGAUCUUAAAUAUUAGAAUUAUAACAAGAGAUUGGAAUUCGUAAACCAGUAGGAAGAUCUUAUAAAUUGAAUUCUACAUCUUGAUUUGAGCUGUAUUUUGCUUUCUUUAGAGAAAGUUGUGACAAUGGCUUUCUUGAGUAAUAUUUCUCCAUAACUGUGACAAUUAAACAUAAUUAAUUGUGAGAAUUUAAAGAGAAACCGAAGACAAUUUCCAUGUCAAAAUCUUAAAAAAAUUACAAAAUUACAAAAUAUUAACUUAAUAAACCAACUAUCCGACUAAAUCCUCAACCACUAAUUUACUAACCCAUCACGGCAUGCAUUACUAAUGGCUUUGUUAUUUUAUUAUUUAUAAUCAAUAAAGUUAAAAGCAUUGCCACUUUAUCAACCCACAAAGCAUCGCCACAAUAAUUGAAAGCUAAUAAUACUAUUCUAUUCAAAAAAGCAUAUACUAAUUCAAUUAAAAAAUCCAUAAACAAUUCAAGAAUUAGAAUAUUAAAUCAUAAAGUGGUAGAUGUGUUCAAUUAUCAAAAAUAAUAUAAUCAUUUCUUAAUAUUUAAUAUAAAAGCUGCAAAGGUGCGACAGUAGUACUAAAAAAAUACAAAGAUGCAGACCAUGUGGUGGUGCAAGGCUCCGAGUGCCAGCAGCAAGCUAUAGCGUCUAUGACAUAUAAACAAAGAGGUGUGAUGGCAUGGGAGUUGGACAGAGAUAGACAACAUGCUGAUCAUUGAUGGUAGCCGAUUGAGGUUUUCUUUGGCAAUGGUGGUGGUUACGGAUUUGAUUUUGACUCUUUUUUUGGAUUUUUAAUCGUUGUUUUAAAUACUAGUCUUUUAGUUAUUUUAAAAUUUUAUCAAGCGCUGUAUUGUAAAUCCACUAAAAAAUAAGAUGAAUUUAUUUAUUUUUUUAAAUCUAGCAGGGGCUUCAGCUAGCUCUCAGGUGGCGCCACCAUUGUUUAUGAGUACAGUAAUUAAUGUCAAGAAAAUUGUUGAGAGAGUACUAUUAUAAAAGUAAGGGUAGGAAUGUACCAUAUAUUACUACAUGGGUGUUUUCAAUUAUUUUUUAAAAUAUAAAAAUUAAAUGAGUAUUUACUUAUUUAUUUUGCAAAUGUUAUUGGUAAUUAAUUUGAGUUAAGAAUUUUGUUUUAAAAAAGAUUUUGGGUAAAAGUUUUAAGCAAAUGGUUAACAAGACGACACAUAUACAUUGUAAUUAAAUUGUAUUUUGAGGGAUUAAAGUAAUUGUAAUGAAUGAACUCUUCAAAAGAUGACAACAAUACUGCACAAACAAAUUGUUUUUUAAGGACAUCAACAUAAUUGGAACGUGUGUGAUCUGGAUUUUUUUUUUUAAAUUUAACUAAUUCAAAUUCAAAUAAUGAGCAAAUUGGUCAAUUCAUCAAAUAUUAGACGGAGCCAUUAUAUUUAACUGAUAAAUUGACAGAAAUAGGGGUUUAGUGCACAUGGUCGAAAGAUGUGAGCGCCCGCUGCGCAUUGUCGAAACAACAAGGGGCUGACGCUAAAUUACCCUUGAUUGUUAUCUCAUUGAUAAUACUAUUUUUGUUAUCUCUUGGACCUAAUUCAUUGCUUUCUGUCAUCCACUUCUUUUACUUAAAAUUCGGAAUAUCGUAGGAGCAGCUCAUUAAAAUUUCCUAAAAUAGUGAGCGGCGCCAGUGAUCAAACGUGGCACUGACGUUGGCGGCUUCAGUUUUAUUAUUUGCUCAAUUUGUGUAUUUGACAAAUCAAAGCACAAAUGGCAGCACCCUAUUUGUUGUUAUCGUCUGCUUUUCUUCUUUUGCUUCUCUCUAGUAACUUCUCUGCACUCCGUUCUCAUCAAGCCGUCACGACCCUGCCUGGCUUUGAUGGUCAUCUCCCGUUCAAACUCGAAACUGGGUCGGUUUUUUUUUUCUUUUCUUAUUUUAAUUUAAUUUUUAUUAUGUAUACAUAAUUAAGCAGAUUUCAAUUUAAAGCUAACCAGCUAGAGCUUGCUAUUAAUUUAGCUUUAACUAAUAAUUAAUUUAACGCUGUGUAAAAUUACUUUUAGGUAUAUUGGGGUAGGAGAUGAUGAUGAUGUGCAGCUGUUUUACUACUUUAUUGAAUCCGAGCGGAGUCCUGAAGAUGACCCACUUGUGCUCUGGCUCACCGGAGGCCCUGGCUGUUCUGGAUUUUCUGGCCUUGUCUUUGAAAUUGGUAAAUUCAUUUUCUUUAUGCUUCAUUGAUCACAAUUGUUUCCCUUCUGUAUACACACACACACACACACGCACACAUAUGCAAUUAGACUUUCGUUAUUUAUCUUGAAUUUCCUGAAAUCUUUCUGCUGCUAUUGAUGUUUAGUUAAAGACCAAAAAAAAAAAAAAAAAAUCAAAACCCAGUUUAAUUUCGAUUAAUAGUUUGAGAUUUGAAAAUAAACAAUUGAGUUUUUCUUUCAAAAUGUUAAAAAAAAAAAUCAUUCAAUUUGACUAAGAGUCCAUUGGUAUAAUUUUUUAAAUAGAAUUUGUUUAAUUAGAGAUUUUACUAGCAAAGUUUUUAUAAGUAGAGUUUUUAUUAAAAAAAAUUAAGUGUUUGGUUGUCAAUGAAAUUUUUUAUUAAAAAUUAUAAAAUUAGUUCAAUAGUUUAAGUUUUUGUUAUGAAAAGUAUGAAACAAUGUGGUAAAAUAAUAUUUUAUAUAUUUUUUAAUUUUUACUUUAAAAAGCGUAAAAUUUAAUUUUUUUUAAUAGAGACAAGAUAUUUUAUUUAAAUUUCCAAAAAUCUGCUCAAAAAAUAAUUAAACAACAAGGGAAAAAAAAUUAAAAAGAUCGUAUAGAAUAAAAUAAGUACUUAUAUUCAUUUGAUAAAUUAAAAUUAAACCAAAUAGACAUUAAGCUUAAGAUAUCUAUCUAGUUUGUCUUCUAAUAAAUGCCAAGAGCUGAGUGGUGGUGGGCUGUUGUAGUCCCCUACUGGAGACUCGGUACUUCCUUACUCAUUACACAUUGGGUGGAGAGGGAGACAUGUCACCCCGCCAAUAUGGUUAAAGUGAAUAUUAAUAUUAAUGAGAGUAUUAGGAUAGUUCGAGUGAAUAUCUAAGAGCAUCUCCAAAAGACUCUAUAAAUUUUACUCUUUAAAUAUUCAUUUGCUUACUUAUGUGACAAAUAGAUGAGUGAAAAAAUAUAUUUUUCUUUAAAAGACUCUUCAAAUAGAAAUGAGUUAAUAUUAUUUUAAUUAAAUAACUAUUUUUUAAAGGAAAAAUCAAUAGUAAUUAAAGCACAUUUCUCUUUUUCUUCAAUAAAAAGUAAUAAAAUAUAAAUUGAAGAGGGAGAAAGUAACUCUUCAAAUUUGAAAAGAGAGGAUCAUUUCUUAUUUGAAGAAUUUUAAUUGAAGUGUCUUUUGGAGCCUUAAAUGUUGAUGUAGCUCUUCAAAUAAGUAAUAAAAUCUUAUUUGAAGAGUCUUUUGGUGAUGCUCUAAUUGUGAAUAUUAGUAUUCUUAUGAUGGUAAUAUUACAUAUUUAUGUUUAAAAAAAAGAAAAAAAAAACAAUUCUUAUAUAACCUAAGAGUCAAUAAUGGAACUUAAACCCAUUUUGAUUAAAUAUUUAAUAUAAAUUAUCAACAGACACUAACAUAUUAACAAAUUAGGAUUUUGAUGUUAUAAAAUUGACGGGGCCAAAAAAUAAAUUUAACAUAAAACGAAGGCUAAAUUUCAUUGAGACUUUUUACAUUUUUGAAAUUUUUAUGGAAUUGGAGGCUUUAGUUCUACUCUAAUACAAUUUGUAUACUAAUUAGUGGUGGAACCAAGAACUUGAUUCAACAAGGUCUAUGAUAGAGAAAACGUAAAAACUAAAGUAGGCUAUAGCAUUAUAUCACUAACAUUGAAGAUUCUAACAGCAGAUGCUAUAUUGGAAAAAAAAAAUCACAGAAUGUAGUAGUUUGCAACUCUGUCAAGCUGAGGUAUCAGUGUAAAAUUUACAUAGACAUGGUGAAAUUUUAAUUUAGACUUCUAUUUUUUCCAGUGAUUUAAGGCCCUUUUUAGUAGGCCCGGGUCCUUGAGAGUCCAGGUGCCACUAUCAGAGGGCCGGUUUAGGCUGACCCACCAUGGACUCGGUCCGGGCUGUGCUUGAACCAAAUUAAUUAGAAGGGCCAUGGGCCAGGCCUGUGCUUUUUAGAAGGCUGGGCCUUAUUUUCUAGGGGGUCAUUUUUAGGGACCUCUCCUGAGAUUUGAAGUAUUAACACUUUAAUAGAAUGUGUUGAUAUAAUUACACAUACCUCCCUCGCCGUUAGUAUAAAAAUACGUAGGUGUUAGUAUAAAAGGAUAAAUGUGUAAAAGUUUAUUUAAAAUUCAAAAUUAAAGCUUUAAGUUCUUGAUAUCUGCGAAAGCUUGCUUGGUUUACUCUAUUAUCUAGUGGUGUGUAAUGACUAACGGACAAAAGCAAAAAAAAUUCUUCACAAAAUGAAGCCUCCACUUAGCUUUCUCUUUCAUCUAAGCAACACCCAGCACCAUUUUCGUCUUCCUAAGGCUGUGAAGAAGCAGCUGCAUUUGCUCGAAACCUUUUUAAGAUUAAAAAAUAUUUUAGGUUCAAUUACGAACAAGAUAAGUUCUGAUGGUGGCCCAAGUCUUCCACGAAGCAAGUACCAGCGGCGAAUGGCUUCAUCCGCGACUGGAAUUGGAGAGAGAAAGAGGUAAUCCUCAUAAUCACAUGCAGUAGAUGAUUUUGUUGAACCUGGGUUAAUUAAACUAGGGAUGGCAAAAAUCCCCACGGGGACGGGUACCCUCGGGGAUUUUCCCCAUUCGGGGAGGGUAUGGGGAUAAUUUCAUACCCAAUUUCUUAUUCGAGGAAGGGACGAGAAAAUUUUUUAUUCAGGGAGGGGACGGAGAUGAGGUGGAAUCCCCAUCCCCUAUCCAUUUCUCCAUUUUAAUUUUUAAUUUAAUUUUUAUUUUUUAAAAUUACUAGUAAAUAAAUAAUAAAAUUUGAAUUAUAAAAUUAUAAGUAUUGGUAAAAAUAAAAAAUAUCAAAAUAUUUAUAUUAUUAAACUUUUAGACUUAAUUAACUAAUUAAAGUCCUAAAUUUUUAUUUAGGACAUUAAAAAGACCGGACAGAUUCUAUUAGCCCAAAACUUUUGUUUUAAUUUUAAUAUUCAUUAAAUAUUUUAAACUUAAAUCUAUUUUUUAUUUAUCUUAAAUCUAUUUUUUAUUUAUUUUUAGAUGUUAUAAUUGCCCACAACAAAUCAUAAUUUUAAUAUCUAAUCUAAUCUAAUAUUUGCUCUUGAUUUGCUUCGACUUAACUAUUGUGCUGUAAAGAGAAUAGUCCACAUUUAUAAAGUGCCCACGCCACCAUUGAAAAGUUAAUUUUGAAUCUAAAUUUGAUUUUAUUUGUAACAAUUUUGUAUUAGGCUAUUAAUUUGUUCAUGAUAGUUUGUAUCCCUUGCAUGCUGCGUUACUUACUAAUUUAAUGUAUGUGACUUUAUAAUGGAUAUUAAUGUAAGAUAUAUUUCGAACUUCACUUUUAUUUAAAUUUUUUGUUUUAAUAUGAUUAACUCAAAAUCGAAAACAAAAAAAAUGUAUUAGUUAUUCGAGGAUCGGGGAUCCUCGGGAAUCCCCUGUUAUUAUUCGGGGAGGGAAUGAGAAUUCUCUUAAAUAAUUUUGACGGGGAUGGGGAGGGGACGGGGACAUACGUAAAAUAUCGGGGAUGAAUACGGGGAGAUUGGUCCCCUCCCCUCCCCUCCCCAUUGCCAUUCCUAAAUUAAACCUGAAAAUGGGUUCUUUGUAUUUUGAAUUUUUUUUUGUGCAUGCUGAUUUCAACAACCGUGGGUUUUGAUUUUUUUCAUUUUGAGCUAAUCAAAGUGUAAUGAUAGAAAGUUUUAGCCUUUAUGUAAAUUUUGAUUUAAAAAUUAAGGGUUUAUCACUGUUAUGAAGUUGUUCUGCACUGAGCAAAGAAAUGAAAAGAGAAAAAAAAAAUUCCUUCUCAGUAUUUUUUUUUCUUAACUUAUCAUUGCUUUGAAUUCUUUCGCGUCAUCAUCGUCAGCUUGUAGCUAUGAAGUAGUUUAUGAGGCUGCCGAUCUUUUUAUAAGCAAUUAAUUAUGCGCUUUUGAAUUCAUCUCAAAGGUUAUUAUCUUUGACUGGCUAGAUUGCUGUUAUAAAAUUACAGUUUCACGGUUUGUAAAGAUAAUGUGGUCCACUAAAUCUCUAUUUAGUUUAUGACAACAAACUUAUUGUUAAAUUUUUUAUAAUACUUGAUUAAUCAUGGGUGACAACUAAAGCUUGCUGUGCUCGAUAUGGAUGAAUGCUUGGAGAUUUUAAGAACAAUAGAAACGAUUUGUUGUUUCAAGUUUCAACCCAUUUGAUUGUUUUUUUAAUCUAAUUCUCAGAAAACUGUCGCUAAUUAAUGGCGAUUGAUUUAGCCAAUUAGCCAAACAAUAAUAAAUUUAUAGUUUGUUAUCUCGUACAAAUUUAUUCUAGAACGGUUUAUUAUUUUUAGUCGGACAUUGUGAGUACAUAUAUGUAAAAUUCGUUAAUGAUUACUGAAGAUAUUUGGGAAAGAUGGGGAUCCUUUGACUGGCUAAAAUUUAUUGGAACCUAAAUACUCAUUGAUUCAUUGAUUCAUUGAUUCCGUACAAUAUAUUUAGAAAAAGAUUUUAAAAAACGAUAUUAUCUUAAUUAGAUUACAGAAUUUGAUAAAACAUAUGAAAUAUUCAAUAUCCAAGUAGUUAUGAAAAAUUUUGUCUCCUAAUUUUUUAUGAAAGUAAAAUUGUUGAAAGAAAAUGCUAUUUCAAGUUGUUAAUUCAUCUAUUGUACUGAUGGUUCAUUAUUAAUUGUGUCACCAUCUAAAUAAAAAUAUAAGAUAAUUGAUUAAUUUGCAGCUGGAAACUGGAGAGACUCUUAUAUGGCAUCUCCUAGUUGUAGAGAUAUAGUGGUUUUAUUUUAAACUACUUUGGCAUGUUUUCGGCAACUAUUUGAUUUUCGGCAAUUUCGUGCUGCUUCCACAAUUUUGGUUUUUUUCGAUUUUUUUUUAUUCCUGUCAUUUUUAGUACCCAUCAGUUCUCAUCCAUUUUAUUUAAUAAUUUAUUAUUUUAGUGGGAAGGGUAUUUUAGUAGUUUUAAUAGUCAACUAACGGUCAACUUAACUUGUAAUUAAUGGCGAGGGAGGUAUGUGUAAUUAUAUCAAUACAUUCUAUUAAAAUGUUAAUACUUCAAACCUCAGGGGAGGUCCCUAAAAAUUACCCAUUUUCUAGGUCCUUGGUAUUUUCUAGGUCCUAACCACAGAGGACGAGCUAAAGUCCUCCAAGCCUGGAUUGAGUUGGGCUAGGCCGCUCUCAGUCAUUUUGCCAUCUCUGCAAAAAAAGCCCUAAACUUGCACAUAAUGGUAUGUCAUUAAUUAGAACUUACAUAUUACAUUACUCAUUAAUUAAGAGGCGCAUAGAUCAUGGCCACAUAUUCGCAUGUUUAGGAGGGAAAUCAAAGUUUGUAAUAAAAUUAAUAAUGGCUCCAAAUUGUUCUGUUCACCUAACAAUCAAAUAGUCUUUUCAAAAUUAUUAGCUUCAUUUGUUUUACACAGAUUAAUAAAAUACAAUACAAUAUUAUUUGUAUUAUUUGGUUUAAUUCCUGAAAUGAUCACUUUGAAAAGUUCCGUUCCCUGAAAUUUUACUAGUGAGACUAAGAUUGUGUUUCUUUUUAAUGCUGUAGUUUCCUUACGAUUGGAUUUAUAUUUAAGUGAUCAAAAUCUCAUUAUUAUUUAUUAUUAUAUAUGACUUUAUACCAAAUAUUCUUCAUGGUCCUUAGGUCCAUUGGUGUUUGACUACGAGAAUUCCAGGGCAAGUUUACCAAGGUUUUCGUUGAACCAAUACUCGUGGACAAAGGUGCCUUGCAUGUCCAUUCUCCCACUGAUUUGGUUUUAUAUAUACAUUUGUGUGUUUGAGUAAUGAAUUAAAUUAUAAUUAGAAUUCUAUCGAUUAUCUUACUAAGUUGUGAACAUUUUUCCAGGUUGCCAACAUUAUUUUUUUAGAUGCUCCAGUAGGCACCGGAUUCUCAUACGCCAAUAGUUGGCAAGGAUACAUCAUGAAUGAUACUCUUUCAGCAACACAAAUUUAUCACUUUUUAAGAAAGGUGAAGAUAAGAGAGAAAAAAAAAAGUUACACUCCAAAUUUCAUUAUUAGAGUAAAUUUUCAUUGGCCUUGCAUAUAGGUUUUUGCUGAAUUUCCAUAUCAGCGGCCUUGUAUUUGCUCAGAAUUAUAGAUCAUUAAUUUAACAUACUGAUUGUUAUUAUUAUUAUUAUUAUUUGUUCUAAUCAGUGGCUUAUAGUUCAUUCUGACUUCCUCGCAAAUCCUCUCUAUGUUGCUGGUGAUUCUUAUUCAGGCAAAAUUGUUCCAAUUGUUGUUCAGGAAAUAUCUGACGGUAACUUGUAUACGUGAAUACUUGUUUAUGCAUUGAUUUUGGUUCAUUUUAUGUUUAUCAGAUCUUAAUUUCUCAAGUAGUCUAGUUUUUGUUGCAGGUAUUGAUGCUGGACACAAGCCAAGAAUGAAUCUGAAAGUAGGUGACCUAUCAUCGGAAAUGAAGUAUACUUUGAUUUCAUUUUUUUGAUUUACAUUUAGUUAGUAACUGUUCUUAGAUGCAUUAUCAAUUGAAGUAUUUAACGUCAACUAUUUUGAUAAUGGACCCAGGGAUAUAUGCUUGGCAACCCAGUUACGGAUUACAAAAUAGACCAAAAUUCAAAAAUACAGUUUGCUUACCUGAACGCACUUAUCACCUAUGAAAUCUACGAGGUGAAUUUUCCACCUAUGCGUUGAUUCUAAAUAGGACUAGGAUCUAUUUCUCAUGAGCAGAGCUAUCACAAACAAAAUACAAGUGGGUACGAUGGGUGCUUAUUAUAUAUGAAUAAUGUGGAUUUAUAACUCUAUUAUUAGAUAGAUAGCGAUAGUGUAAUUAUCAUGUUAAAUUGUUAAUGGUAAAAUAAUAAAGCUAAUUUGUAUUUUACAUACAAAGCAUUAAUUGAUAAAUGGCUGCACGUUAGUUGGAAUGCAAAUUUUGUAUCUCACCUUGUAACCACAUAACAUUUUUAAUUUAAAAUAUAUGGACAUGAAUGAAUGUUCCAUUUUAUAAUUUUAUUUGCAUUGUUGCAAGGUUUGUUUUUCUCUUUUUUUUUUGGGCUUGUUUUCUGAAGACAAGUGUUAAGAAUAUCCACUUAAUAACUUCUGAUUGUAUAACAAUUUCUCAUACUAGCUACUUUCAUAAGUUAAUCUAGUAUAAAUGGCAAAUCGUUCUAUAUUUUUAUUCGAUUUUUUCUUUUUUCUGGCUAGUUUUACUUGCUUUACUAAAAUAUUAUUUUAAAUUGUGCGCUGCCUUUUUUUUCUAUAUUACUUUUUACCCAGUCAGCCAAGAAGAAUUGCAAGGGUGAUUACGUAAAUGUAGACCCAGGAAAUUAUUUAUGCAAAGCCGAUCUUCAAAAUAUCUCAGCGGUACGUAAAGGAGUAACUAUCAUUUUGUUUAUUUGUUUAUUAUUUCUUAAUACUAUAAGUAGCACGCCAAAUUAUCUCACUGAUGCUUGAAUUUAUAGUGCACUGGAAAUGUAAAUGGAGGGAACAUAUAUGAACCUAAAUGUAGUUUUGUAUCCCCAAAACCAACACGAUUGAGCCCCCGAGAUGGUAGCGUCGUGGAAGAUGAAGAAGAUUAUUUAGAUUUGCUCUUUUUGCCAGCUCAGCCAGCUCCAAAACUUUGGUGUCGGGUAAAUUUCUGCACAUGCCUACAAUAUACUUUCCCCUAAUGCUAACGUGAGGCAGUUACCUACCUUAAGUUUUUUGUUGAACUGUUUAAUUAAUACAAUAUUAGAGCAAAUGGCUCACGAUCAAUUCUUUCAGCCAACAGUUUGGAAGAUAGUCGAAAUUUAUUAGGGAUAAAUAAAAAUUAAUCCUAAAAGGAAUCAAUUAAAUUUAGAAUUCCUCUUUUAUAUUUAUAUGAGUGUAUUGAAUAUUGGUGCUGUAUUUUUUUUUUUUUUUUGAAUAGAUAUUGAUGCUGUAUUUAAGCUGUCAUAAUAUUUUUCAUUUUUGUCAUAUGUAUAUUUUAAUCAUAACAGUCUGUAUCCCAACAAUAUAUGUGUGUCUUAUGAUCUUAUUAAACUUUUAAUUGCUGUGAUACUCGUCAAUUAUAAGCUAAUAUGAUCUUGCUCUUUUAAAGCAUCAAAACUAUUUAUACGCUCCAACAUGGGCAAAUGACAAAACUGUCCAAAGGGCUCUUGGAAUUCAGGAGGUAUGGCAAAAGCUUAACCAUAACGUUAGUAGCAUACAAAUUUGAAAAUUAAUUUUACCAGAUACAUGUCUUUCCCAAUGACGAGCAGGGGAUGGUAAAAGAAUGGAGGAGAUGCAAUAAAAGUUUAUCUUACACACAAAAUGUCCCGAGUAGUAUUGAUUAUCAUCGCAACCUCAUCAAGAAAGGCUACCAAGUUUUGAUUUACAGGUAAAGUAAUAUAAUUAUAUAUAUAAUUUUUAUCAAAUUUGUCCCCAACUCUUGUAGGAAUGUGUCAAUGCCCAGGUUAUAUUGAAUUUUGAGUAUUUGACAGUCCCAAUGCAAGAAUAAGAAACUUAAUACUGAAGUUGUUUAUAUCAUUUCCAAAUGAAUUAGGGAAGUUAAACUCUAUUUUUUGAUCUAGUAAUAUUAUACUUACUCGGUUGGGAUAUUUAAUUUCUAUCUCGAUUGAUAGAUCACUAAUUAUUUAUUGUCAUGUAUUACCAAUCAUCGAUUUUAUUACUAACUAUGUUUACGUAUAUAUGUUUGCUUGAGUAUGGUUUUUAAAUCUUUGCAGCUUUCUUGAUGCAACUAAUAUUUUCUUCUCUUACAACAGUGGCGAUGUGGACAUGGAAAUUCCAUAUGUAGGCACAGAAACAUGGAUUAAGUCAUUAAAUUUGACGAUUGAUAGUGGCUGGCAGCCAUGGCUUGUGGACGGCCAAGUUGCAGGGUUGGUUUUAUUUUUUUUGUUUGAUUGAGUUAAUUUCUCUUUAUUCCUUAAUUAGGGUUAGACAUUAUUUUCCAAUUGGCCCUUAAUUUUUAUUAAAUGAUACGAAACAUUUUUUUAUUAAUAAAAAAAAAACCCUGCAAAGGAACAUUUGACAUUAACAAAAGUAACAACUUAGAUGUUUUGCAGAUUUUGGAUGCGGUAUGCUGAAAAGAACCUUUACCGUUUGACAUUUGCCACAGUAAAGGCAAGACUAAUUUUCUGGCAAAUUAUGUUUAGACUGACAUUAACUAAUUAAAUACUGUGAUUUAAUUAGCAAAGCAGCUACGUGAUUAAAUUAUUUUGUAAUUGCGGGUUGUGUAGGGAGCAGGUCAUACGGCUCCAGAGUACAAGCCUAAGGAAUGCCUCGAAAUGAUUAACAGGUGGUUUGCCAUGUAUCCUCUCUGAAUCCAUGUUCAGUACUUUGAGAAAGCAAAUGUAUUGGAUUAUCUUGUAUUGUAUUAAUAUUAUGUUACGAUAAUGUUGUAUGGUGUUUAGCACUAUAUUGUACCGUAUUAAUUUUAUAUAAUAUUAAAUUAAUGUUAUUUAAAUGUAUUAUUAGAUAAUUAAUUUUAUAUUAAUUAUUAAUAUAUAAAUAUUAUAUUAUUAAAUAAAUUAAUGAAGUGGGAUUAACUAUAAUUUUAUAUUAAUUUCAUGAUUAAUGUAUUAUUUUGUAAGUUUAGCUUAAUUAUACAGAUUGCUGAUUUCAACAAUUUAAAAACUUCAACAAUCAAAACCUGACACCAUAAAAUUAAUGAACUGGGAUUAACAACAAAAGAAAUCUUAUGAUUUGACAAAAUCACAAAGACGGUUUGCCGUUGUCGUGCAUGCGUUUAUAAACAAUGAAUUCUGAAAUAAAUAAGUACUAGAAUAAGCGAUUGAUUUAUUGAAAUGUAUUUAGCAAAAUUUGAUGGUCACAAUAGGAGGUAAUUAACUGGGUACUACUGUUGGGUAGUGGCAAUUUUUGACAUGAUUUAUCAAUGCAAGGAACAUAAAAAAGGUUACCAAAAUUUGGGUCCUAAAUGUUACGUUUCAUAUUUAUAACCAUAUUAUAUUUUAUAGUGCUUUUAAAAUUGUUUGAUUAUAUUUACAUAGAACCUAUUAGUGUAAGAAGAACAAAUUUAUGAACGAUAUCCUUUAUUGCAGUUUUAUUAAACUUUGGGAAUUCUAAUGGUAUUGCCACUUCCAUAGAUUAACAUGACUUUACUACAAUCAUUAGAGAGGCAUAUACGAUGAGAAACUACUGGCCGGCCUUCUCAUGCGUGUGACAUACAACUGCUGUAAAUCGAACUGUUUUCAGAUGUAGCAAGAGAAACAUCCAGACAAAAUUUCUGUGGCCAUUAUCUCAGUUGAGGCGAUUUUAAGUCUCAUCAAACAAUUAUGUCAUAUGUGUUUGUGUAAUUAUUUCAUAAAUGUAAUAAUGAUUUUCCCAUUUAAACAUCACCACAUCACAAGCUGCUUUUACUGAUAAGAGUUUUAGAUUUUCAACCGAUCGAUAUUGCUUCAUAUAUAUUUAGAACCAGUGAUGUUGAAUGUCGAGGGAAUAUCAAUCUUCCUUAUAAUUUCACUAAUUUUGUGCUUCUCAUAAUCUUCCAAGACCAAGAUGCAUGCUGAGUUUGCUAAUCACGAUAUCAAUCUCACCAAAACCCUGAUUUAGGGUCCCAAGAAAUAGCUCUUACCUUGUUCAAAUCUGAGAAACAAACUUGAGGCAAAGUGUAAAUUGCAGCACACUCCAUUCUUUAAGUUAAUAGAAACCUCUUCAACAACAUCUGAUCUGUUUCUGUGAAGCCCCACGCAAUGCAAAUUGCAAAGUAUAUAUAUGUUGAAUCAUACUUCACAGUAAAAUUUGCUUCAAGAUUAUUUUUAAGUAAGGGAUAUCGACAUGUCCCCAGUGAUCAGCUCACAGCCUCCUGCAUGUGAGGAUUAUAUACAUCGUUAGUGUAUCAAACGAACAUAAUUAUAGAUUUGCUACUAAAAUAUGGCAUCUGGCGGGUCGCUUGAGCCGGUAUUUCUUUUAGUGACUUGUUCUUCAAUGUUAUAUUGCAGCCAAUUGCUUGACACAGAUGCAUGUUAAUGCAGUGGGGAUGUUGAAUUAAUGCAGACCACUGCUUGCAAACACACUUGAACCUUAUAACCGACUGAGGAUCCCAGUAACGUUCUCGAUCGAUACGGGGGGUUUUUUAUUUGGAAUCGAAGUCGAAUAAUUAUUUGUUUUCUUCCUUUGUGGCUCAUGACGCCGAAAUCUGCAAAUGAUUCCCAUGGUUGGCACCACCUGAUUAUGACGAUAGUAUCAAAAACAAGUAUUUAAAUUUAUAAACCACUCGGCUCAGCCCGAGUGGCCAGGGCAGGAGGGCAGCAGUUCGAACCCCCACAAAAGUAUUGUGGGGGUAUUUCUUUCCUCAAUUAAUUGAGUGAAUGUAGUCUUCUCCCUUACCCAUGAGUGAGGAGUAGACAUCCCUCGAAUAUUUGUGAGGGUUAAAAAUCUGGGCAGAGCUCUAUUAGCAUUGAUGUAAGUUGGUCCCAGUAAUAGUCUAAUUUGUAAAUAUCAGUUAUAGUCUCAUGUAAUAUGAGUUGUAAUCUAAGCAAUAGUCUCAUGUAAUAAAAAAAAGUAUUUAAAUUUAUUAGUGUGCGGACUUCAUAAUGUCAACAUACAAACAUUUCUCUAAUAAACGUUAACUAGUUAUUAAAUGUAGAAGGACGCUAAACGACAUACUUUAAGACUUAGAAAAGUAAUCAAUUAUUAAGGUCCGGUUUGACAUUGAGGUACUAUAACUUUUAAGUUGUAAUUGUUGUGGAAAAAAAACUGUAAUUAUAAAAUAUAAAUUAAUAAUAUAUAAUAAAUAUAAAUUUUAUCAAAAUUAUUAAAAAUAUAAUAAAAUUUUAUUAUAUAAGUGAAAAAUCAUACUAACAUAACUUCUAAAUUAAAGCAACUAGUAUUUAUCAAACACUUUAAUACUAUAACUUUUAAGUUACAAUUAUCCAACCUCAAUCUCAAACACACCCUAAGUUGGAGGGAACAAUAUUCGAAUUUAAAACUCGAAUAUCUGCCGCCCACCAGCCUAUUUCAUUCAAGUAGAACCUAACUUAAUUUUUCUUAUGCAUUAUUACUUAUGCAUGCUCCAAUUAAUGUUGGGCGUAGGAAAGUAGCCAUGGUAAUAAAAACAUUUGAGGAAUUUGUAAUUUUAGUUAUUUAUUUAUUUAUUAUAUGUACAUAGUGAUGGUCGCACUAAUUAGUGGAUAUUGGCAAUUUGUCACAUGGUCUAACAAUGCAACAAACAUUACAUGGGUUAGCAAGUUUGGAUCCUAAAAUAUUACCUCUUGUGUCCGGUUUCAAUUUUUAUUUUUUAUUUUUCUAGAUGAAGUCCGAUUUCAGCUUAAAACUUAUGACAGUGAAUUUAUUUAUAGUACGAUUAACUUAUUAAUUAAAUUAUACCCGUAGACUUUAUUAUUUAAUUUGAUAUAACUAUAUUAUAUCUAUCGUAUUUUAAAAAUUGUUUAGUUAAAUUUAAUUCAAACUUAUUUGUGUGAGGAGAACAAAUUUAUAAAUGAUAUCUUUACUGUAGUUUCAUUAAACUUUAGGGGCUCUAAUGCUAUUGCCACAUCCAUAAAUUACCAUGACUUCUCUACGGCCAUUAGAGAGGCAGCGCGAUGAGGAAUCACCACCCUUCUCUAUCCAAACCCGAUGACGACCCGGACCCGAUUCGGCCACCCACGGCCAAUUUAACCCUCUCCGCCGGCGUCGGCCUCCGAAAGAAAGCAGCCGGGGUGCGCCCAUGGCUCCUUCUCGACUCAACCGGCCAGGCCCAGGUGGUGGAGGCCGGCAAGCACGCCAUCAUGCGGCGGACAGGUCUCCCGGCCCGAGACCUUCGGAUCCUGGAUCCGCUUCUCUCGUAUCCCUCAACCGUACUGGGUCGAGAACGGGCCAUAGUCAUCAACUUGGAGCACAUCAAAGCCAUUAUCACCGCCCAGGAAGUGUUGUUGAUGAAUUCAAGAGACCCUUCUGUUGUUCCC